AGCCUAUAAAACAUCGCGGAGUUCUCACUUUGGAAAGUACACUUCUUCAACUUACAAGUAUUGCUCAAAUUAUAACCAGGACUUCAUUUAACAAGAGAAAAUGAGUAACCUACCUCUGCCAUAUCAACAAAGCAUUAACAAUGGCAACCGUUUCAAGGGUCUCCAAAUUGAAGGGAUCCCAAAGGACCAGGCUGGGUUGUAAGUAUAUCAUUGUUAU
rnacentral:sRNA from 1 species